rnacentral:sRNA from 1 species
GACAGGCCAGAGCCACUGGGCCCAGCCUACAAAAUUCUUUGUUCCCUCUUCACUUCCACUGCUUUACUUGACUAGUCAUGA